GACGAACGCUGGCGGCGUGCUUAACACAUGCAAGUCGAACGGAAAGGCCCUGCUUUUGUGGGGUGCUCGAGUGGCGAACGGGUGAGUAACACGUGAGUAACCUGCCCUUGACUUUGGGAUAACUUCAGGAAACUGGGGCUAAUACCGGAUAGGAUCUCCUGCUGCAUGGUGGGGGUUGGAAAGUUUCGGCGGUUGGGGAUGGACUGGCGGCUUAUCAGCUUGUUGGUGGGGUAGUGGCUUACCAAGGCUUUGACGGGUAGCCGGCCUGAGAGGGGGACCGGCCACAUUGGGACUGAGAUACGGCCCAGACGCCAACGGGAGGCAGCAGUGGGGAGUAUUGCACAAUGGGCGGAAGCCUGAUGCAGCGACGCCGCGUGCGGGAUGACGGCCUUCGGGUUGUAAACCGCUUUCGCCUGUGACGAAGCGUGAGUGACGGUAAUGGGUAAAGAAGCACCGGCUAACUACGUG
rnacentral:rRNA from 1 species